rnacentral:rRNA from 1 species
CCUACGGGAGGCAGCAGUGGGGAAUAUUGCACAAUGGGGGAAACCCUGAUCCAGCGACGCCGCGUGAGUGAAGAAGUAUCUCGGUACGUAAAGCUCUAUCAGCAGGGAAGAAAAUGACGGUACCUGACUAAGAAGCCCCGGCUAACUACGUGCCAACAGCCGCGGUAAUAUGUAGGGGGCAAGCGUAAUCCGGAUGUACUGGGGGUAAAGGGAGCGUAGACGGCAGCACAAGUCUGGAGUGAAAGCCCGGGGCUUAAACCCGGAACUGCUUUGGAAACUGUGCGGCUGGAGUGCAGGAGGGGUAAGCGGAAUGCCUAGUGUAGCGGUGAAAUGCAUAGAUAUUAGGAGGAACACCGGUGGCGAAGGCGGCUUACUGGACUGUAACUGACGUUGAGGCUCGAAAGCGUGGGUAGCAAACAGGAUUAGAUACCCGAGUAGUC